UCUGUUCUGACAAAGUGCUUCAAAAAAGGCACAUACAAGGGAGACAGUGAUAUACACAGUGAUAUACACAGUGUUAAGGCUUAAUACGUGAGAAUGAAUUUAUAUCAGACUGCAUCAGACUUGCAGCCCUACAUGUUCUCAAAACACCGGGUGCAGAAUUUGCAUUUACAAAGGCUGGCUGGGUUAAAAUGAUCGUUGUUAUGAGUGAUCUGAUAUCUUGAUUAAUGACAUCCUGAAAUGGAUCUUUUAAUGUCGGCCUUUUCACCAUGGA